rnacentral:rRNA from 1 species
CUACGGGUGGCUCCAGUGGGGAAUAUUGCACAAUGGACGAAAGUCUGAUGCGGCAACGCCGCGUGGAGGAUGACACAUUUCGGUGCGUAAACUCCUUUUAUAUAGGAAGAUAAUGACGGUACUAUAUGAAUAAGCACCGGCUAACUCCGUGCCAGCAGCCGCGGUAAUACGGAGGGUGCAAGCGUUACUCGGAAUUACUGGGCGUAAAGAGCGUGUAGGCGGGUGCAUAAGUUGGAAGUGAAAUCCUAUGGCUCAACCAUAGAACUGCUUCCAAAACUGUACACCUAGAAUGUGGGAGAGGUAGAUGGAAUUUCUGGUGUAGGGGUAAAAUCCGUAGAUAUCAGAAGGAAUACCGAUUGCGAAGGAGAUCUACUGGAACACUAUUGACGCUGAGACGCGAAAGCGUGGGGAGCAAACAGGAUUAGAUACCCCAGUAGUC